GACGAACGCUGGCGGCGUGCCUAAUACAUGCAAGUAGAACGCACAGUUUAUACCGUAGCUUGCUACACCAUAGACUGUGAGUUGCGAACGGGUGAGUAACGCGUAGGUAACCUGCCUGGUAGCGGGGGAUAACUAUUGGAAACGAUAGCUAAUACCGCAUAAUAUUGAUUAUUGCAUGAUAAUUAAUUGAAAGGUGCAAUUGCACCACUACCAGAUGGACCUGCGUUGUAUUAGCUAGUAGGUGAGGUAACGGCUCACCUAGGCGACGAUACAUAGCCGACCUGAGAGGGUGAUCGGCCACACUGGGACUGAGACACGGCCCAGACUCCUACGGGAGGCAGCAGUAGGGAAUCUUCGGCAAUGGACGAAAGUCUGACCGAGCAACGCCGCGCGAGUGAAGAAGGUUUUCGGAUCGUAAAGCUCUGUUGUAAGAGAAGAACGGGUGUGAGAGUGGAAAGUUCACACUGUGACGGUAUCUUACCAGAAAGGGACGGCUAACUACGUG
rnacentral:rRNA from 1 species